AUACGGAGGAUCCAAGCGUUAUCCGGAUUUAUUGGGUUUAAAGGGUGCGCAGGCGGAAGAUUAAGUCGGCGGUGAAAUCUUGCAGCUCAACUGUAAAAGUGCCAUCGAUACUGGUUUUCUUGAGUGUGGAUGAAGUAGGCGGAAUUUGUGGUGUAGCGGUGAAAUGCAUAGAUAUCACGAGGAACUCCGAUUGCGCAGGCAGCUUACUAGGCCAUAACUGACGCUCAGGCACGAAGGCGUGGGGAUCAAACAGGAUUAGAUACCCUGGUAGUCCACGCAGUAAACGAUGAUUACUCGCUGUUUGCGAUACACAGUAAGCGGCUUAGCGAAAGCGUUAAGUAAUCCACCUGGGGAGUACGUUCGCAAGAAUGAAACUCAAAUGAAUUUACGGGG
rnacentral:rRNA from 1 species